UACGGGGGGAGCAAGCGUUGUCCGGAUUUAUUGGGCGUAAAGAGCGUGUAGGCGGCCAUACAGGUCCGUUGUGAAAACUGGAGGCUUAACCUCCAGACGUCGAUGGAAACCGUAUGGCUAGAGUCCGGAAGAGGAGAGUGGAAUUCCUGGUGUAGCGGUGAAAUGCGCAGAUAUCAGGAAGAAUAUCCGUGGCGAAGGCGGCUCUCUGGUACUGCACUGACGCUGAGACGCGAAAGCGUGGGUAGCGAACAGG
rnacentral:rRNA from 1 species